UUAAGGGAACUCUGAAUGCAAUAAUGCAAGCCAUACACAUUGGGUUCUGCUUUUCCCCUAUCUGGUUCUCUGACAUUAAAAUCUGCAAGUCUGACUCAAAGUACAGAAUUAUCAAACUCUAUGGCAGAGGCCAAGAAAGGAAGAACUCCUCUGCAACCUAGAAUAAACCGGGAAAUCCAACAGAUGAGAGCUCUCCUACUGGGAACAGAAGUGAAACCCCCUUGAAGAUCACACCACAGCCUCCACCCCCAGCCACCACCACCCCAGAGCAGCAUAGGUAGCGUUUGACCUGCCCCCUUCCACAAGGGGUUGGUUCCUGGGACUCAAGGUCUUGGUAAGAUGACAGCUGGAGGCAACACCGGACAGCAGUGGGCAAGCAGUGGGAGUUUUGCCCUUGGGGCACUACAAGAGGACCUGGCAAGGCAACAGAGAUGGCACCAGUAAUGAUAAGAACAGGGGUGGGCCGGGAUCGGUGGCUCACGCCUAUAAUCCCAGCACUUUGGGAGGCCGAGGUGGGUGGAUCACAAGGUCAAGAGAUCGAGACCAUCCUGGUCAACAAGGUGAAACACUGUCUCUACUAAAAAUACAAAAAUUAGCUGGGCAUGGUGGUGCGCACCUGUAGUCCCAGCUACUCGGGAGGCUGAGGCAGGAGAAUGGCUUGAACCCAGGAGGCGGAGGUUGUGGUGAGCCGAGAUCAAGCCAUUGCACUCCAGCCUGGGUAAGAAGAGUGAAACUCUGUCUCAAAAAAAAAAAAAGAACAGGUGUGAAACAGCAGCAGUGACAGGGGAACACACAGGUAGGUGCAGCACCAGGCUCAGGGCUAGACAGCUUCUGGUGCGGAGUUAGCAGUUAGUAAGUGCUGUAUCUCAGGGUUUGUUUUUGUUUUCAAGGGUGGGGAGGGAGUAGGAGAUGUGAAAGAGGACUUGUUGUCUGGGAUCUCUGUAGAGGAGGUUCCCAGCAAUCACAUAGGCAGGAGGCAGCCCAGGGAGCAGUGAAGGGAGUGGUGCUACUUCUUCCUACCUGUGUGACCUGGGGACCGAUGCUGCAGUUCCUCAAUUCUAAAAUGGAGAAAACAUUUUGAGGCCAAGGCAAGAGAAUCUCUUAGGUCAGGAGUUCAAGACCAGCCUGAGGAACACAAUAAGACUCCCUUUCUAUAAAUAACCUUUCUAAAAAAUUAGUGGGGUGUGGUGGUGUUUGCCUGUUGUCCCCACUACUUAGGAGGCAGAGGUGGGAGGAUCACUUGAGUUCGAGGCUAAAGUGAGCCAUGAUCACAUCAUUGCAAACCAAAGAGAGAGAGAGAGGGGGGGGGGAGCACAAUUGGUAUACUUUUAGGAUUGUGCCCUUAGUUAAGAAUUUAAAGCAUUUGAUUAAGAAUAUAAAUGUUGGCAGCUCUCAUCAUCAUCUUCAUCCUCAUGAUUGCAGCUGUUUUCCUAGUGCCCCUCCAUAGUGGUUCUCCAGGCUGGUAGCAACAGAAGCAUCUUUAGAUUUUUAGAUUUACAAAUAAAACUUUGGAAGGAGGCCAUGAAGUAUUAUGCUGUAUUAGGAAUCAGGCAAUUUGUGAGCCAUGGGGCCCUGGGAAAGUAUGAUCUAGAGGCUCAGUUUCCUCACCUCCAAAAGAUAAGUAUUUAUUUUAUUUUGAGACAGAGUCUCACUUUGACACCCAGGCUGGAGUGCAGUGGCACAAUCUUGGCUCAUGCAACCUCUGCCUCCUGGAUUUGAGAAAUUCUCCUGCCUCAGCCUCCUGAGUAUCUGGGAUUACAGGCACGUGCUACCACACCCAGCUAGUUUUUGUAUUUUUAGUAGAGGCAGAGUUUCUCCAUGUUGGCCAGACCGGUCUCAAACUCCCAACCGCAGCUAAGCCACCUGCGUUGGCCUCCCAAAGUGCUGGGAUUACAAGCAUGAGCUGCCGUGCCUGCCCACAAAAGAGAAGAAUUUGAAUCACCUAAGAUCCUUCUCCCUGUGUAUGUCUUCAUUGCUAUGAGACUGCAUAUGUAUGCUUAUUAGGCUUAAAGAAUUUAUCGAUCAGUGUCACUGCAUAUUGUGCACAUGUACUCAGAGCACAAAUAGCAGAGAAUACAAAAAUUCCCCAUGCUCUCUGGGCUGAUUAGUUGAAGAAGGAAUGUGCUGAUGCCUUCACAAUUCUGCACUGACUGUACUCAUCACCCCUUCUGCUCAGUACACGUAGUGCCUGCUUCUUGACCCUCCUCACAUCAGAAAAACCGCACCAUUAAGGGCCCUGUGGUAAUUGCCAAAUAUUGGACUAACCAACUGAUCGUAACCUCCACUUCAAACACACUGAUUUUUGACUACUGAUCCUAAAACAGAUUUAAAUUCAUUCCGCAAACAUGGAAAUGCCACUACUCAUAACCUAGGGCCUGGAUGAAGCAACAUUUCACAUGGAAAAGAAUAUGAACAGCGGGUCCUGAGCAGAGGGUGGGGCUUCCUUCCUUGCCCCCUUCUGCUCUCCCCUUCUCCAGCCACCUCACCCACAGCGAAGAGCCCUUAGAAUAUGGGGCCACCUAGUGAGCCGUAAAGGUUGAAGGGGUUUCCAGUUAUCCAUCAGCCUUUCAGUGAAUCCUGCAGUGAGAUAAAAGUCCAGAUUUCAGUGCCAGGAGGAAGUGGGCCAGCGAUGCGGAGGCCCUGGGGGUGGGGGAGCAUGCCUCCUGGGAUGCCGUGCUCCUAGGGAGCCUGCAGCGGCCCUCCGCAUGUAUGUGGGAGAGGGAGGAGAGGACUGGCAGAAGAAACGGCUCCAGAAACUUCCCAUCCUUCUUUUCAUGGUGCCAGGGCUGCUUCUGUCGGGCCUGUCCACAGAAGGCCCAUUCCUAUCCCUUCCAUCCUGGACACUAUAAUUCAGCUAAGCUUUACCAAAAACCCACUAGCAGCUGGAUGUACAUCUUUAGCCCAUGUCCUCUUAGUAGAUCUGUACACUUUGUAUAUGGCUUGAAUGCCAAAGUGAAUCAGGAGACCCUGUCACUUGGGGUUAACCACCUACAGAGGUUCCCAUACAACCACACAGAACACAAUGAGGACAGCAUUAAGCUGCAGAGAAACGAAUGUGCAGAAAGCUCAGGAGGGGCUGGGGGAGUCCAAAGACCUCGCCGCAGAGGCCAUGAUUCGGUUUUUCUCAGGCAGAGAGGGCAAUGAGGCAUUCUGGAGGGGUGGGUGUUUUCCAUAGCACCAUCAGGCUGAAGACCAACAGGAGCCAGGAGGCCCCCAUCCUAUGUCACAGGAGUUGGGACAAAAGCCAUGUCACAUGGCAGCACAGUUUAGUGGCCAAGAGCUCAAAAUAUAGACCACCUGGGUGUGAAUCCUGGUUCUGCCAGUGCUUGGCUGUGUGACCUUGGGCAAAUCAUGUCACCUCUCUGUGCUUUGGUUUCUUCAUCUAAAAAGUAAGUAUAAUCAUGGUACCCUCUGCAGAGAGUCGCUCUGAGGAUUAAACAAGUUAGCCAUGUAAUGUGCUUAGGAUAACAGUAUCUGACACAGUAUACAUUCAACAGACACCAGCUAUAACAAUAACAAAUGAAAAUCAUCAUUAUUGCUUUUACUAUUGUUAUCCUAUAAAAACUAAAUUCAAAUUAAGGUGAGGAGGAGGAAGAAGGAGGGGAGUGUUUUUAGGAAAAGAUGAAUGCAAUGCAGUGGGGUUCCAGAGGCUACAACAGAACAUCAAGCAAGUCAUUAACCUCCCUGAACCUCAGGCUCCUCUUCUGGUAAAUUCAUCCAAGAACAAUAUCCAGUAAAAAUGUAUAGUGUGCCUGCCUCUGAUGCACCAGGCACAGCUAGGGAUAAUAUACAUUUUACUCAGCUACUGUGUUGCAUUUUGUGAGCCGGCCACACCCAGCUGACUCUGUCUCCUCUUAGACUGUGGGAUUUGACUGCACUGUGGGUAGAUGUGGUUUUCUCCUUCCCAGGCAACAGGGUAAGUAUGAUGUGCUGUAGGCCAUGCUGUGCCACCUCCCUGCCAUUUGGCCUAGAGUUUGGGUAGCAGCAAAGCUUUCAAGUGGCGCACUUCAUCUCCCCUGCAUCUUCCACAAGGAAUUCCAUUUGAAAAAGACUGGUAGCUUAGAAGGUUUCCUGGGGGUAGGACAUAAAGACAAAAAACUGAUCCCACAUGUCCUUCAAAACAAACAGCUGAAGGAAGCUACUCUUACUCUGUCACUGGUUUUUGGAUGCAACAUCAAAGGGAAAGCUACCAGUGUCAGUUACUAAUUCUCGCUCUGUCUCUAUUCGCCACUGCAUUUUUUGGUUUUGUUUCCUGGCCACGGCACCACUUGAGAUUUCUGGCUGCGCUAGAAGAUCCUAUGAAGGUGUGCGCUUCAGCGUUGCUUUGCUGUCUAUGACAUGGGAACCUGAGGAUCUGCUCAACACAUUCCUUUUCUGCUGAGGCAAGCUCAAGUAAACAUUUCGUCAUCGCAACGAAGAAAGCCCUAAUAGAUCUGGGCCUCACAAAUGGCCAGGAUGGGCAGCCUUUGUCAACCGGAGUGCUGCAGGUGGAAAGAAGAAGGUCAAAUCAGAGGAACAGAACAAGGGCUGGAAAGGGUCAGGUGGGCUACAUUUCUCUCUGCUGCUCCUUCCCUCAAGUCCUAUCAUUCUCCUUCACAGAAUCAGGCCUGGAGAGGACAGGAAUCAGGAAGGAGAGCAGAAGGCCCCUAAUAUAUGCACAGUACCAAGUACAGAAAAAUUAUUUAAAAAAUUAACAAUGCAACAAUA